ACGGCUCAGUAACACGUGGAUAACCUGCCCUUGGGUCCGGCAUAACCCCGGGAAACUGGGGAUAAUUCCGGAUAACGCACAUAUGCUGGAAUGCUUUAUGCGUAAAAUGGAUUCGUCUGCCCAAGGAUGGGUCUGCGGCCUAUCAGGUAGUAGUGGGUGUAAUGUACCUACUAGCCAACAACGGGUACGGGUUGUGAGAGCAAGAGCCCGGAGAUGGAUUCUGAGACAUGAAUCCAGGCCCUACGGGGCGCAGCAGGCGCGAAAACUUUACAAUGCGGGAAACCGUGAUAAGGGGACACCGAGUGCCAGCAUCAUAUGCUGGCUGUCCGGGUGUGUAAAAUACACCUGUCAGCAAGGGCCGGGCAAGACCGGUGCCAGCCGCCGCGGUAACACCGGCGGCCCGAGUGGUGAUCGUGAUUAUUGGGUCUAAAGGGUCCGUAGCCGGUUUGGUCAGUCCUCCGGGAAAUCUGACGGCUCAACCGUUAGGCUUUCGGGGGAUACUGCCAGGCUUGGAACCGGGAGAGGUAAGAGGUACUACAGGGGUAGGAGUGAAAUCUUGUAAUCCCUGUGGGACCACCUGUGGCGAAGGCGUCUUACCAGAACGGGUUCGACGGUGAGGGACGAAAGCUGGGGGCACGAACCGGAUUAGAUACCCGGGUAGUCCCAGCCGUAAACGAUGCUCGCUAGGUGUCAGGCAUGGCGCGACCGUGUCUGGUGCCGCAGGGAAGCCGUGAAGCGAGCCACCUGGGAAGUACGGCCGCAAGGCUGAAACUUAAAGGAAUUGGCGGGGGAGCAC
rnacentral:rRNA from 1 species